CGUACAGUUUACUUGGAUAACUGUGGUAAUUCUAGAGCUAAUACAUGCGAGAAGCGCCGACCUCGCGGGAGGCGUGCAUUUAUCAGACCAAAAACCGGCCGCGUCUUCGGGCGCGUUCGCCUUGGUGACUCUGGAUAACUUUGCGGAUCGCACGGUCUAGCACCGGCGACGGAUCAUUCAAGUGUCUGCCCUAUCAACUUUCGUCGGUACGGUAUUUGCCUACCGAGGUUCUUACGGGUGACGGGGAAUCAGGGUUCGAUUCCGGAGAGGGAGCCUGAGAAACGGCUACCACAUCCAAGGAAGGCAGCAGGCGCGCAAAUUACCCAUUCCCGACGCGGGGAGGUAGUGACGAAAAAUAACAAUGCAGGACUCGUUCGAGGCCCUGUAAUUGGAAUGAGUACACUUUAAAAGCUUUAACGAGUAUCCAUUGGAGGGCAAGUCUGGUGCCAGCAGCCGCGGUAAUUCCAGCUCCAAAAGUAUAUAUUUAAGUUGUUGCGGUUAAAAAGCUCGUAGUUGGAUUUUGGGCGCAGGCGGCCGGUCCGUCGCAAGGCGUGUACUGGACGUCCUGGCCUUCCCUCCGGUUCUCCGCCGGUGCUCUUGACUGAGUGUCGGCGGCGGCCGGAACGUUUACUUUGAAAAAGAUAGAGUGUUCAAAGCAGGCUCUCAAGCCUGGAUAAUGGUGCAUGG
rnacentral:ncRNA from 1 species